GACGAACGCUGGCGGCGUGCUUAACACAUGCCAGUCGAACGGAAAGGCCCUGCUUGCCGGGUACUCGAGUGGCGAACGGGUGAGUAACACGUGGGUGAUCUGCCCUGCACUUCGGGAUAAGCCUGGGAAACUGGGUCUAAUACCGGAUAGGAGCCAUUUUUAGUGUGAUGGUUGGAAAGUUUUUUCGGUGUAGGAUGAGCUCGCGGCCUAUCAGCUUGUUGGUGGGGUAAUGGCCUACCAAGGCGGCGACGGGUAGCCGGCCUGAGAGGGUGGACGGCCACAUUGGGACUGAGAUACGGCCCAGACUCCUACGGGAGGCAGCAGUGGGGAAUAUUGCACAAUGGGCGCAAGCCUGAUGCAGCGACGCCGCGUGGGGGAUGACGGCCUUCGGGUUGUAAACUCCGUUCGCUAGGGACGAAGCUUUUUGUGACGGUACCUAGAGAAGAAGCACCGGCUAACUACGUG
rnacentral:rRNA from 1 species